rnacentral:lncRNA from 1 species
AUUUCCUAGCACAUAGGGACAUGAUUAAUCUUCAGGGGCUACUUUCAUUUAGUAAACGUGCAAUCUGCCUGUAUCAGAAACAGUCUGUUGAGACCAUUUUGAAGUUCUAAGUAAGUCUUAGUGUUUAGCUCUUCAGCUUUGGUCUGGGGUAGGACUUAUUUUUGUUCCCAACGUGCAGUGGAUAGUAACUUCCUUCUCACAUGCUCUUUCAACUUUUCCUCAGGCUUAACCUGAUACUGCUGCUGUUCAGUAUUACAGCUUUGUUUGUUUUAAACAAAAUGUAGUUAAGGAAAAGCAGCCCUCUCAGACCUUAUUCCAGAAGUUACUGUUUUGUGUUAUUAAGAAUUACUUGAGAAGUUUUCUUAAAACUCUCUGCAGUAGCGUUGUCACACUUUGGUUCUUCAUAAUCCAAACCUCAAGCCUACAUUUUUAAGUUUGGAGAGUUUCCAAGUAAGGAUUAUUGUAGUGGUCUCCAGAGAAGCAGAACUGAUAGGAGAUAAGGUAAGUAGAUGGUAGAGGAGAUGUGCUGGUGUCAGUGGCUUCAUUGUGGAAGCUGAGAAGUUCCACAAUGCCUGUUUUCUGGGUAGAGAACCAGGAAAGCCAGCAGUGUGCCUCAGAGUGAGGCUGUAGUCCCAGGAAGGGAGGCAAGGGUGGGCAGACUGCUGUGAGUCCAGAGGAUAGGAAGUGUGCUCACAGGCAGAGAAGGAAGAUGUCCCAGAGCUAGGCUAAAAUCUACCCAUCCUUUGCCUUUAUGUUCUACGCCCACCUGUGAUAGUGAUAGAUAGUUUUCACUCAGCUUACCAACAGAUGUUACUGUCCAGUGAAAACACCCUUACAGACAUACCCUAGACUGUUCAGUCAAUAAAAAGUGAAGCUGCCUGGAGAAGAAUGAAUGCGGGGCCUAUUGUAGCACUGAGAAUAAUUAGUACUUUACCAGCUAUGUGGCUAUACCUUCAUUUAAUAAAUUGACAACCAGUUUUAAAAUCACAAGAAUCGUACAUGAUGUCAAUUGGUAAGCAUUUGAAGUCUGUUUUUAAAUUCAUAAUCAGUUUUUCUGUAUCAUGACAAAGUACCCUAAAUAAUGAAUUUCCAGGAGGGAAAGGUUGUGUUUACUUCCUUUUCUUACCUUAUUUUGCCUUCUGGUACCAAGAACUCCUAGGAUUAUAAUGCAGAGUAAUAACUGAGUGGAAUCUUCAUCUUGUUCUUAGUCUUAGGAGGAAAAUUUUCAGACUUGUGACAACUCUCAAGUAUGUUAAUAAUAGUUUUUUUUCUGCUUUUAUUUGAUUUGGAGUUCUUUUGCAAUUUUUUUUUUGAAAGACUUUAUUAUGAAUGGGUUUAGUGUUUUGUUUUUAAGGCAAUAUUUUGCUAUGCAGCCCUGGCUGGCCUGGAACUCCACUGCAGGGAGCAGCCUGCCUCUGACUCCACUGAGUUUGGGAUUAAAGAUAUGUACCACCAUGCUCAGCUGGGUAUAGUUUUUUCAAAUACGUUUAUCUUUUUUGUUUGUUAAUAUGGUUCACAGUGAUUAGUUUUCAAAUACAGAAGCAGUCUUGGAUUCUGGAAUAAAGCCCAUUUGCUGAUGAUGUAUAUUUCUUUUUGUACAUUUUGUCCCUCUGUACCUGCCAUGAUUAUGUGCUGUCUUUACUGAUGCCUGAAACCAUGUAGUAUACCUUGUAUAUAGUAGUAUACCUUGUAUAUAACUUACUUUCCUCCUAUAUAGACAUCCUGAUGAUUUGAGUUUAAUUUAACAAUUUAGGAACAGUAAGAGAUUACCAAAAGUUAAAAAACAGUUAUAACAAUAUAUUGUAAUAACUUUUAUGUGACAUAUAUAUCCUAACAUACCUUAUCAUAUUGUACUUCUGUGAUGAUUUGAGGUGCCUACAUGAUGAGAUUAGGUGAAAUGAGGUGAGGUUAUAGAGACCAUUGGGGGUUUUAAUAUAGCAUUGGAAUACCACAUAAGGCUUACCUGAACACAGAGCAGUGCCUCAGCAGUUGAUGUGAUAGCUAACAUGGUGUUAAGUAACAGCCAGGCAGAUAGUACAAAGGGAUGUAUUGUGUGUUGGUCAAGGAGUAGCAUUUUAUCGUGCUGCUCAGAAUGGUAUAGACUAGUUUAUUUUUGUGAUUUGUAUAUUAUAUGCAUUUGUGUAAACAUGUAUGUGCUUACUGGCAUAUGAGUAGGGACCAGCGGAGGACUUGGAUUUUCUGCUCUAUCACUAUCUGCUUUAUUUCCUUGAAGCAGAGUCUCUUAUUGAACCCGAAACUUGUCAUUUUAGCUAGGCUGGCUAUUGAGUUGCUGGGCCAGCCUGUCUCUACCUCCUCCUAAUGCUGGGUCUUCAGGCGUGUGUGGUCAUACCCAGGGUGUGUGUGUGUGUAGUAAGAUCUAGGGUUUUAAUUUCAGGUCCUCAUACUUAUGCAACCAACACUCUUAACUACUGACCCAUCACCCCAUCCCCCAUUUAAUAUUUUUAGACUGCAGUUGACAGUGGGUAACUAAAGACUUGGAAAGUAAAACUCCUGGUAUGGAAGAGCUACUAUAUAUUGAAUAUUAUUUGUUUUUUUUUUGUUGUUAAGAGUUUUCAUAUCUAUAUGCAGAGAGGAUAUUGACUUGCAAUACUCUUGUCUUAUUUUUUAGAAAGAUGUGGUGUCUUAGUCAGGGUUUGUAUUCCUGCACAAACAUCAUGACCAAGAAGCAAGUUAGGGAGGAAAGGGUUUAUUCGGCUUACACUUCCACACUGCUGUUCAUCACCAAAGGAAGUCAGGACUGGAACUCAAGCAAGCCAGGAAGCAGGAGCUGAUGCAGGGGCUAUGAAGGGAUGUUACUUACUGGUUUGCUUCCUCUAGCUUGCUCAGCUUGCUUUCUUAUAGAACCCAAGACUACCAGCCCAGAGAUGGUACCACCCACAAAGGGGCCAACCCUCUUGAUCACUAAUUGAGAAAAUGCCCCACAGCUGGAUCUCAUGGAGGCAUUUCCCCAACUGAAGCUCCUUUCUCUGUGAUAACUCCAGCCUGUGUAAAGUGGACACACAAAACCAGCCAGUGAAUGUGGAUAACUGAUGUUGUGGUUCUGCCACCCCCCAACCCCCAACUUCAGAAAACUUCUCCAUUUAAAUCCUCUGAGCUUUGACAGGAAACAAAUUUAAAUUACAGUUUUAGUUAUAGUAUUGUUAACUUACUUUCUCUGUUAGGUGGUAAGAUAUAGUUUGUUUUUUGGAAGUUCUCCCAGUUCAUCUAAAUAAAUAUAUGUGUGUUUCCAGUUAUUCCUUAUUCUUGUGAUGUUAUAGACUGUAGUUCUCUGUCUUGAUUUGCUGUAUAAGUAGUUUAUGUCCUCCUUUGUCUGUACUUUUGGUGUUUUUUCUUUCAGUAUUUUGUCAGUUAUGCUGAUUUUACUUUCAGAGAGAGAACUUUGUUUCAUUGUUCUUUUUCAGUUUUUAUCAAUUUGUAUUUUUUUUUCCUGAAAUUGGUUUUUAUUUUAUGUAUGUUUUGUCUGUGUAUCUGUCUGUGGCAUACAAGCACCAACAGAUGCCAGAAGAGGGCAUUGGAUCCCCUGGAACUGGAGUUAAAGACAGUUGUGAUCCCCAAUAUGGAUGCUGGGACUCACAUCUGGGUCUUUUGUAAGAGCAACAAGUGCUUUUAAACACUAGGCCAUUUCUCCUGCACCUAACAGUUUCUCUUCUUUGUUACUUCCUUCUUGUUUUACUUCCCCCUUCCCUGCCAGAGUCCAGCAGCUCUAGUU